rnacentral:rRNA from 1 species
GACGAACGCUGGCGGCGUGCUUAACACAUGCAAGUCGAACGGUAAGGCCCUUCGGGGUACACGAGUGGCGAACGGGUGAGUAACACGUGGGUGAUCUGCCCUGCACUUCGGGAUAAGCCUGGGAAACUGGGUCUAAUACCGGAUAGGACCACUGCCUGCAUGGGUGGUGGUGGAAAGCUUUUGCGGUGUGGGAUGGGCCCGCGGCCUAUCGGCGUGUUGGUGGGGGGAUGGCCUACCAAGGCGACGACGGGUAGCCGGCCUGAGAGGGUGACCGGCCACACUGGGACUGAGAUACGGCCCAGACUCCUACGGGAGGCAGCAGUGGGGAAUAUUGCACAAUGGGCGCAAGCCUGAUGCAGCGACGCCGCGUGAGGGAUGACGGCCUUCGGGUUGUAAACCUCUUUCAGCACCGACGAAGCGCAAGUGACGGUAGGUGCAGAAGAAGGACCGGCCAACUACGUGCCAGCCGCCGCAGUAA